rnacentral:rRNA from 1 species
UGUUUCGGCUAGGGGGUCAUCCCGACUUACCAACCCGAUGCAAACUGCGAAUACCGGAGAAUGUUAUCACGGGAGACACACGGCGGGUGCUAACGUUCGUCGUGAAGAGGGAAACAACCCAGACCGCCGGCUAAGGUCCCAAAGUCAUAAUUAAGUGGGAAACGAAGUGGGAAGGCUCAGACAGCCAGGAUGUUGGCUUAGAAGCAGCCAUCAUUUAAAGAAAGCGUAAUAGCUCACUGGUCGAGUCGGCCUGCGCGGAAGAUGUAACGGGGCUAAAUUAUGCACCGAAGCCGCGGCAGCGAUAUGUAAAUAUUGUUGGGUAGGGGAGCGUUCUGUAAGCCUGUGAAGGUGUGCUGUGAGGCAUGCUGGAGGUAUCAGAAGUGCGAAUGCUGACAUAAGUAACGAUAAUGCGGGUGAAAAACCCGCACGCCGGAAGACCAAGGGUUCCUGUCCAACGUUAAUCGGGGCAGGGUGAGUCGACCCCUAAGGCGAGGCUGAAAAGCGUAGUCGAUGGGCAACGGGUUAAUAUUCCCGUACUGGUGGUAACUGCGAAGGGGGGACGGAGAAAGCUAAAUCAUCCGGGCGACGGUUGUCCCGGUUUAAGCGUGCAGGUGGACUGACCAGGCAAAUCCGGUCGGUUGUUAACACUGAGGCGUGACGACGAGCCACUACGGUGGUGAAGUGAUUGAUGCUCUGCUUCCGGGAA